UACAGAGGUCUCGAGCGUUAGGCGGAAUCACUGGGCUUAAAGCGUGUGUAGGUGGAUCGGUAAGUACCUUGUGAAAUCCCACGGCUUAACCGCGGAACUGCUUGGUAUACUGCCAGUCUUGAGCCAGCUAGGGGCUACCGGAACAAAUGGUGGAGCGGUGAAAUGCGUAGAUAUCAUUUGGAACGCCAAUGGUGAAAACAGGUAGCUGGGGCUGUGCUGACACUGAGACACGAAAGCCAGGGGAGCAAACGGG
rnacentral:rRNA from 1 species